UACGUAGGUGGCAAGCGUUGUCCGGAUUUACUGGGCGUAAAGAGCGCGCAGGCGGUCGGAUCAGUUACGAUGUGAAAGCCCCCGGCUCAACUGGGGAGGGUCAUUCGAUACUGUCCGACUCGAAGGCAGGAGAGGGAAGCGGAAUUCCCGGUGUAGUGGUGAAAUGCGUAGAUAUCGGGAGGAACACCAGUGGCGAAGGCGGCUUUCUGGCCUGUUCUUGACGCUGAGGCGCGAAAGCUAGGGGAGCGAACGGG
rnacentral:rRNA from 1 species